GUGUGUGUGUGUGUGUCAAGGCAAGAGCCGAGGGGGGGGGAGGCUGCGGGGGAUGAGGGGCCGCACACACACUCACAGGCACCCUACAAACGCCUGCACUGGCGCACUCUCAGGAGCUUAUGCACAUCCACUGCGAGCACACACGUGAACAGCAACUCAGCCACACGCAGGGUCCCAGGACUAGGGCUCAGCAGGGGACACAAUUCGGGGCGCAGUUAGGGCUGGGCUUGCCUGCCCUCACUCUACCUAAGGCUGCAAUAGGUGGAGCCGGUGUUGCGCGUGCGCACUGUCACGACUGAAGCCAGGCCACCCUCUCUAUGGCUCCUACAGUGACAGCUCAAGCUGUGCGUGCGCAAUUGCGCAAAGACUACAGGAAUACAGGAACUAAAUGACGAGUGGGCGGGGUUAAAGAAGCGCGUGCGCGGUAUCCCUUCCUCACAGACCUAAACAGCUAGCUUGAGCCACAGCCUGAGUUCUGAGAUGGCAACUCCCAUCAUUCACUGGCAGAAAGGAACCACCAGAAAGACAACCAGGUCGUGGGCUUGUUUCAGGCUGAAGCUCGGGUUGGUCAAGAUGGCGCCCAGCAUCCCAAACCCCACACGGCCUACUUUCUUACCAUGCUGCAUCCGGCUCAUUUCCCACUUGCACAGUCUGCUCAAGGGAUCCGGGACUGAGGCAAACCCAUGACAAAUCCCCACAAGCACAGAUCAUUCUUCAAAGCCUUCACUUUCUCUUCAGGGACAAGGAGGCCAAAUUCUGCUGGGUCUUUACCCCAUUUAGGAAGUGAUGGGCCUUGGGGAAUUGGAGGAGUGAGAUACUUAAACGAGAGCCCAGGAAAAGUUCCAAAGGGAACUUUCUGCUGGGCACCUUCCAUGAUGGCGAUGACCUCAGUCUCUGUUUUGGGGCUUGCUUGAUGAAAAAAAAAAAAUACAGUCCAUAAUCAAUCAAUCUCUUCUCUGAACCUCUUCCUUAACCAUCUGGAGUGUCAGGGGAAGGGUGCUGUAGAAUACUAUUUGCAAAACGCCGCCUGCCUCAUCAAGGAUGCACUCUUUUGAAUAUAAGGUCUUCUCUUCAGAAUUUUGGGAAGAUAGGAAAGUUUUACAGGAAUAAAGAUCUAUGGAAAUCUUUCAGAAGAAUAUUUUUAGAAGUAAUAAAAUUUCUUGACCUUUCCUAA